CGGGUGAGUAAUGCGUGACCAACCUGCCCCAUGCUCCAGAAUAGCUCUUGGAAACGGGUGGUAAUGCUGGAUGCUCCAACUUGACGCAUGUCUUGUUGGGAAAGUGUUUAGUGGCAUGGGAUGGGGUCGCGUCCUAUCAGCUUGUAGGCGGGGGUAAUGGCCCACCUAGGCUUCGACGGGUAGCCGGCCUGAGAGGGCGGACGGCCACAUUGGGACUGAGAUACGGCCCAGACUCCUACGGGAGGCAGCAGCA
rnacentral:rRNA from 1 species